rnacentral:snoRNA from 1 species
ACCCGUGAUGAGGGCAUUCCCAGUAGUAGUAGUCUUUGAACCAUUCCCAAGCUUCAUGGAACGAUUCUGUAUCGGUCUGCUGAAAAGAAGAGAUCUUAUUCCUCAGAAU